rnacentral:rRNA from 1 species
UUCGGAAUCACUGGGUUUAAAGGGCGCGUAGGCGGUCUGUCAAGUCGGUGGUGAAAUCGUUCCGCUCAACGGGACAAUGGCCUUCGAUACUGGCGGUCUGGAGGGAGGUAGGGGCAUGCGGAACUUCCGGUGGAGCGGUGAAAUGCGUAGAUAUCGGAAGGAACACCGAUGGCGAAAGCAGCGUGCUGGACCUUUUCUGACGCUGAGGCGCGAAAGCCAGGGGAGCAAACGGG